rnacentral:rRNA from 1 species
CCAAACUGUUGCCUCGGCGGGGUCACGCCCCGGGUGCGUCGCAGCCCCGGAACCAGGCGCCCGCCGGAGGGACCAACCAAACUCUUUCUGUAGUCCCCUCGCGGACGUUAUUUCUUACAGCUCUGAGCAAAAAUUCAAAAUGAAUCAAAACUUUCAACAACGGAUCUCUUGGUUCUGGCAUCGAUGAAGAACGCAGCGAAAUGCGAUAAGUAAUGUGAAUUGCAGAAUUCAGUGAAUCAUCGAAUCUUUGAACGCACAUUGCGCCCGCCAGUAUUCUGGCGGGCAUGCCUGUCCGAGCGUCAUUUCAACCCUCGAACCCCUCCGGGGGGUCGGCGUUGGGGAUCGGGAACCCCUAAGACGGGAUCCCGGCCCCGAAAUACAGUGGCGGUCUCGCCGCAGCCUCUCAUGCGCAGUAGUUUGCACAACUCGCACCGGGAGCGCGGCGCGUCCACGUCCGUAAAACACCCAACUUCUGAAAU